rnacentral:rRNA from 1 species
UUGGAGGGCAAGUCUGGUGCCAGCAGCCGCGGUAAUUCCAGCUCCAAUAGCGUAUAUUAAAGUUGUUGCAGUUAAAAAGCUCGUAGUUGAAUUUCGAGAUCAAAUUGUUGGUCGUGCCUUGGUACGUACUGGCAUUAUUGGUUUCUCCCUUCUGAAGAACCAUGAUGUCAUUAAUUUGGUGUCAUGGGGAAUCAGGACUGUUACUUUGAAAAAAUUAGAGUGUUUAAAGCAGGCUCGCGCUUGAAUACAUUAGCAUGGAAUAAUGAAAUAGGACGUUUAAUUCUAUUUUGUUGGUUUCUAGGAUUGACGUAAUGAUUAAUAGGGAUAGUUGGGGGCAUUAGUAUUCAAUUGUCAGAGGUGAAAUUCUUGGAUUUAUUGAAGACUAACUACUGCGAAAGCAUUUGCCAAGGAUGUUUUCAUUAAUCAAGAACGAAAGUUAGGGGAUCGAAGACGAUCAGAUACCGUCGUAGUCUUAACCAUAAACUAUGCCGACUAGGGAUCGGAUGAUGUUAAUUUUUUAAUGACUCAUUCGGCGCCUUACGGGAAAC